UAAAGAUUCAUCGCUGAUAGAUAGGCAUGCGUUCCAUUAGGCAGUUGGCGGGGUAACGGCCCACCAAACCGACGAUGGAUAGGGGUUCUGAGAGGAAGGUCCCCCACAUUGGUACUGAGACACGGACCAAACUCCUACGGGAGGCAGCAGUGAGGAAUAUUGGUCAAUGGGCGUAAGCCUGAACCAGCCAAGUCGCGUGAGGGAUGAAGGUUCUAUGGAUCGUAAACCUCUUUUAUAAGGGAAUAAAGUGUGGGACGUGUCCUGUUUUGUAUGUACCUUAUGAAUAAGGAUCGGCUAACUCCGUGCCAGCAGCCGCGGUAAUACGGAGGAUCCGAGCGUUAUCCGGAUUUAUUGGGUUUAAAGGGUGCGUAGGCGGCCUUUUAAGUCAGCGGUGAAAGUCUGUGGCUCAACCAUAGAAUUGCCGUUGAAACUGGGAGGCUUGAGUAUGUUUGAGGCAGGCGGAAUGCGUGGUGUAGCGGUGAAAUGCUUAGAUAUCACGCAGAACCCCGAUUGCGAAGGCAGCCUGCCAAGCUAUGACUGACGCUGAUGCACGAAAGCGUGGGGAUCAAACAGGAUUAGAUACCCUGGUAGUCCACGCAGUAAACGAUG
rnacentral:rRNA from 1 species